CAAGAGAUUCUCCGGUUUCAGAUCUCGGUGAUAAACACCACGGCUAUGGCAGAAAUCAACGGCGGAGAUCAAUUGCUGGAAAUACACACGAGCUACAUCUUCGCGUAGUCUUCCUUUAGCUACCUUAGCGAACAACUCACCGCCUCGUACAAGCUCCAUGGCGAAAUAGAUCUUGGAUUUGCUCGCCAUAACUUCGUGAAGCUCGACGAUGUUCGGAUGUUUGACCAUCCUCAUCACUGAGAUCUCUCGUUUGAUCUGAUCAACCAUCCCAACUUUCACCACUUUCUCUUUUCCGACGACUUUCAUCGCCACGCUUUUUCCGGUCUGUACGUUACGAGCGUGGUACACCUUCGCGAAUGUUCCGUGACCUAGAAGACGACCUAGCUCGUAACGGCCGUGAAGCAGCCCCGUACUACUACCACCGUCAGAUCCAUUCUCCACCGGUUUUGCUCCG
rnacentral:lncRNA from 1 species